GGUCCGGUAGUUCAGUUGGUUAGAAUGCCUGCCUGUCACGCAGGAGGUCCCGGGUUCGAGUCCCGUCCGGACCGCCA
rnacentral:tRNA from 1 species